CUGGGCGGGAACUCCGAGGGGCGGAGUCCUCUCUCCUCUCUCUGUGCUCCCUGUCCUGAGUUAGGGCUGCCCGGAGCAGGCUGAGAGCAUCGAAUCCAAUGCAGGGGCAGCUGGGAAGAGGUGAGGGGUGCCCGCCUGGGCACUGCAGCCUUUGCCACCGUCACCCCACUGACUUGAGGGUCUCCGUGUUCAAGCAUCCUGCUUGUCCUGCUGCACUCACUGGGGGCUCCUAUGAAACGAGCCCGCCUCUCACCAUGUGGGUCCAGUUGUUGGUCCUGGGCUCAAGUUGGCCAAGUGCAGAGAAGCAAGUAAGUGGGUGGAAGAGCGAGUGUCAUGGAAGGUGGCUGGCGGGAGGUGAUGUUUUGAGGGUUGGAAUAAAAUCAGGCACAGGCAUGCCUGGUUAGCCACUCUGGCAUAAUAAGAACUUUCUUAUAGGACAGGUGUCUCUUGUGGCUGACUAUAGUUUAGACAAACCCAUGGCUGUGGCACUUCUUUGUCUUUUUUCUUCCCCUAAAAUAUUUCAUCGAGCCUGGAAGAGUAGAGGGAAUUUGAAUAACAUGCUCCCGAGACAGCCUUGAGGUCAAAUGCAGUUGCCAAAGGUGAAUGGGUGCUCAGUGCCCUUGGCAACUCACUCUCCCACUCACCUUCUAUGCAGACUCCACUGGAGCCUUCUGUGGGUCUUCUGUGUUCCCUCUGAAAGCACACCGAGUCUGCAGAGCUUUCAGGACUCAUCACCUAAAGCCUACCUUGCCCCUGCUCAGUCAGAAGGUGCUGAAGAGGCAGAGUAGAGAUAUGGCUGAGCCCUUACCAGGGCCCAGGCAGGACAUCUGCUGUUGGAAAGUCUGAGCAUCUCCUGUGUAAUGCGGGGUGCAGGACCUGAGACCUCUUUUCCAGCUCCAGUUGUCCCCGAGCUGGCUGAAUGUGGCAGAAAUUGAUGAGGAGUCCGUCCAUGGCCCUGGGUAAGGUGGAUAGAGCUGGAUAAACCUACAUACGGGCCUAGCAGAGCCCAGAAUAUCUCCUGGUGCCAGGGAGCUGAAUACCCCAUGAUCCAACUCCCUACCUGUUUUUUUUUUUUUUAUUUUUAUUUUUUAAUGUUUAUUUAUUUUUGACACAGAGAGACAGGGCAUGAAUGGGGGAGGGGCAGAGAGAGAGGGAGACACAGAAUCCAAAGCAGGCUCCAGGCUCUGAGCUGUCAGCACAGAGCCUGAUGCGGGGCUCAAACUCACAGACUGUGAGAUCAUGACCUGAACCGAAGUCAGACGUUCAGCCAGCUGAGCCACCCAGGCGCCCCCUACCUGUUUUUGAUUUGAUACCUUUUCUGUCUGAUCGCCUUGAACCCCUCUAGUAGAACAGUGUCCUGGGUCGAUGUCAUGGAGAAGCUGGGAAUCUGUAACCACAUCACCCUGAUUCUGGUGUUUUGGGCCCCAAGCACCCUGUUCUGCUUCUGGACUUUUAAGGGACUUUACUUAUGAACUCAUUAAAAUAGUACCCCUUGAUUCAGUGUACCUCCCCUGUGUUUUACAACCAUCUCAUCUCGCGGAUGAAACGGAGGCCCAGAGAGCACGGUUGCCACAGAGACCUGUGUUUUCCCAUCUUCUUUUCCUUUUUCAUUUCACACCAUCUCUGCUUUGAUGUGGAGUUAGGGACUUUGGCCCCAGCAAAGGGUCACACGUGCCCACGAAUCUGGGAUCUGUGACUGUCCUUCUCCGGGACGUGGGAUGGCCUUGUCUCUCUGUGACCUCGAGUAGAGUUUGUGGUACCUGUGAGGCCCCGAAUUCCCUCCUGAGCCUCAUACCCUUAUUUCCAAGAUGCCUGCUGGAUAUCUCUGCUGCAGAUGCAUAACUGAAUUCUCCUUUUCUUUCAUUGCUCACAUUUAAUCAACACCAAGUGCCAGAGAGUCUGCUGUCUAAAUGCCUCUUAAAUCAGUCACUGCCUGAUUGUCUCCACAGCCACGGAUUUCGCUCAGACCCCGGUGGUUUCUCUGGGGGAUCAUUGCCUCUUCUCUUCCAACCUGUUCUCUCUGCCUUCAUCCCACCCUCUCCUUCAAUCCACCGUAUUGCCUCCAGGGCUGUCUUGCUCAGACAUACACGUGAUCAUGUCACUGCCCUGCUGGAAACUUCCUCCAGGCGCUCUCCGUCAUCGUCAUCUUUAGGGUGGUGUCCAGGGAUCUUUAUAAUUUGGCUUCAGUCUAUCCUUCUGGACUCAUCUUCUGCCAUUCUGGAAGGCCCUCCGCUGCCUCCCUCUGUCUGCCCCCCCUACCUGGCUAACAUCACCCCACCCUUGAGACCAGGCUGAGCGCCUCCCUUCUCCGUGAAGCCUCUUCCAACUCUCCCGAGUCAGGGCAUCAUCCUCUGUAUAUUGUUUGCAUCUCUGUCAUUUAUCAUAUUGAUUUAUAAUUAUUGGUCCGUCUGUAGCUCUCCCUCACUAAAUAGCUGCUUGAAUGUAGGAACUAAAGUCCUAACAUGAUGCUUAGAUUGUAGGUGCUCAACAAGCAGUGUGAAUAAACGUGAGAAGUUUGCAAGAUGGGAGUUGGAA
rnacentral:lncRNA from 1 species